UAACCUGAUCCGAAUCCGGUGUACCGUCGGCGGCACACUGCGUGUGUUUUGGUUGAUAACAUUGGGAAAUACAACAACUUAAAAAAGACAAACCUAAACACAUCAUAUAUCACUAAAAAGCUGAGAUUCUUGUGAUUCGAACGAUGUAAACCAUUUUAAGAUACAGUCAACACAGUCAGUGCAAUCAGAGUGUUUGUCAAACAACCAACAACCAAAAAACCAGCUUACAAACAGGGUAUGAAAAUGAGUAAACUGACCUAUAACGCCUUCUUGUAGUCCAAAGAUCCAUAAAAUUCCAACAAAAACGGUGUAGUUACACUCUGAAGGGUCCAGUAAAUCCAAUUCAGUGAAAUAUUUAGUCCACAGCACAUGUAUAUGUCAAUAAACAUCCAAGGAACAUAGUAGUAUCAUUUAUAAAUAGCCGACAAAGCCACCAAGUCUCCGACGCAUUCGGUCGUGUAGCGUCUCUUCACUUGUAAACAUUGCAGAUGUGUUGAUUUUAAAAUGGCCGCUGAACUCUGCCCUUUUGAUUGACACCUCAUUUGAGCGAAUAGGUGCUUCUCAGAGGUGACAACAGGCAAGAAUACGCAAGGAACGCCCUUGCGCGAGGAUGGGACCUUCCCCUAUUUGAUUGACAAUAGAUCGAUCCUGUCGCGUCAAAGUUUGCAAAUGACGGGCGUAUCUGAUAGCCAAUAAGAUUCUGAAAAGAUUGAUACAAAGCUUCCCUAGGAAGAUUCAACCUGUAACCCGAUUGGUCGUGCACAAACAUACACUUGUUUGGUGCGCUCUGUGUGCGUAAAUCCCAACAGUGACUAGCGGCCGUGCGCUAAAGCUGCUAAUGCUGUGCUAGGAAAGCAUUGAGCGUCUAAAAAGUUUUACAAUGUCGAAAAGAGCAAGUAAAAGAAACUUUUCACUUGAAGAAGUUGUCGAGCAGUGUACCAGGCGUGAGAGUGAUUUGUUGGAGGAAGACGUUUCAGACGAAGAGAGCGUUUCCUCCGUCGACCCAGUAGCGGAAGAGAUUUUUUGGAUGGGGGAGACGUCACUCUCGACAAGUGCAUGCUGGAGUGGACCUUUCCAAUGCCCUAAUCAGCUAUUAUAAACUGAUCCACAAAACCCAGAAUUGGUAUAAGACCUUUUUUAUCAUUUCUAAGACAUUGCCACUGUGAAUGCCUUACUGAUUUACAAGCAUAUCACAAAAGGUAAAGGGGAGGUGCCAAUGCACCAGAAGGCAUUUAGGGAGACACUAGUGAGUAGCUGGCAGCGGUUGCUGACAUACCCGCUCCAUCGCCCACUUCACACAGAGCACAUCACAAGCCUUUGCAUAUUAGUGGUGACGGCACCACAGUUCGUCUAAGGUGCAGGCACUGCCAUGCAAAGACUACUGUAAAAUGUUCUUCAUGUGAUGAGCCUUUGUGCUUUUUGCCAAGCCGUGAUUGUAAUAACGAGUGGCAUGUUGCCAAUAACCUGUAAUAUUGUAAAAUUUCUAAAUAGUUUUUUAUAUACAUUUAUAUAUUUAGAUUGUGGUUUUUCUAAUAUUAAAAGUAUUUUAUUACUAUAGAACUUGUUUUGUAUCUUUAUUUUUACAAGUAUAGUUUCAAGAAUAUAGAUUUUUUCAACACUAUAAAGUGUUUAUGCUUCAUUUACUAUGUGUCAGCAAUUAUUGACAGUGAAUUUGGACAUGAAAUAGAGUAGCUCUAAGUGUAACCUUUCAUUAGAGCCCAAAAAUAUGAUUGUACAUUGAAGCAUUCAAGAAAAACAGCAUUUUAUGUCAAUGGUUACAAAGGGCCAUUUGGUGUCUCCAAGUGCCCUUUAUAGAAGGCCGCCUAGACAUAAACUUGGAUAAACAUGUGAAAAAGACACAUUUUCUAAGAUAUUGUAAUCAAAUUUGCUUGGUAAAGCUUUGUAAGGCUUCAUGCUAUGAUCCCAAUGUGUUUUCCAGCUAAUAGCUCCCCAUUAUUAGUCCUCUGCAGGCAACUGUUUACAAAAAAAAAGUAGGCGGAAUAUUUUUUUCCUCUCUUUCAGUGUGUUUAAAAUUCUAUUACUUUAUAACAGUAAGACUUACAGUGAUUCUGACUGUAUAGAAACAAACCUCAGAGUCUCACCUUUCAAAAGACAUCAAAACCAUGCAUAUACUCCAAAUACUUCAAGAACAGUAUGCAAUUUACUUUGGGUAUGUUUUUAUUAGGCGUUUUUGCAAAAUAUAGCAGGAUUGCAAAGGGGUUAAA